UACGGAGGGGGCUAGCGUUGUUCGGAAUUACUGGGCGUAAAGGGCUCGUAGGCGGCCAACUAAGUCGGAUGUGAAAUCCCCAGGCUUAACUUGGGAACUGCAUCCGAUACUGGAUGGCUUGAAUCCGGGAGAGGGAUGCAGAAUUCCAGGUGUAGCGGUGAAAUGCGUAGAUAUCUGGAGGAAUACCGGUGGCGAAGGCGGCAUCCUGGACCGGCAUUGACGCUGAGGAGCGAAAGCCAGGGGAGCAAAGCGGG
rnacentral:rRNA from 1 species